UUGUCGGUGACGAAGCGUUCUGGGGGA
rnacentral:piRNA from 1 species